AGUGUACGAUCUGUUGAAAGAAUCUGGGAAGAAGCCAAAAAGCAAAUUGCCGAUGGCAAAGAAGUAGAUGUCUCAAGCAAGAAGCCAGGAAGAUCUGGCCGAAAGAGAAAGGAGAUGGAUCUAGAGAGGACCUCAACAAUCCCACUAAAUAAAAGAAGGACAAUUCGAUCUCUGGCA
rnacentral:rRNA from 1 species